rnacentral:rRNA from 1 species
GACGAACGCUGGCGGCGUGCUUAACACAUGCAAGUCGAACGAGAAUCUGUGGAAAGAGGAUUCGUCCAAUUGAAGCAGAGGACAGUGGCGGACGGGUGAGUAACGCGUGAGGAACCUGCCUUUCAGAGGGGGACAACAGUUGGAAACGACUGCUAAUACCGCAUGACACAUCGGAGUCGCAUGGCUCUGAUGUCAAAGAUUUAUCGCUGAAAGAUGGCCUCGCGUCUGAUUAGCUAGUUGGUGAGGUAACGGCCCACCAAGGCGACGAUCAGUAGCCGGUCUGAGAGGAUGAACGGCCACAUCGGGACUGAGAUACGGCCCAGACUCCUACGGGAGGCAGCAGUGGGGAAUAUUGGGCAAUGGGGGAAACCCUGACCCAGCAACGCCGCGUGAAGGAAGAAGGCUUCGGGUUGUAAACUUCUUUGUCAGGGACGAGUAGAAGACGGUACCUGACGAAUAAGCCACGGCUAACUACGUG